ensembl:lncRNA
CACUCACAGCCCAUAGGGGUACACCCGCAGCCCAUUGGGGUACACCCACAGCCCAUAGGGGUACACCCGCAGCCCAUUGGGGUCCACUCACAGCUAAUAGGGGAACACCCACAGCCCAUAGGGGUGCACUCACAGCCAAUAGGGGUGCACUCACAGCCCAUUGGGGUCCACCCACAGCUCAUUGGGGUCCACCCACAGCCCAUUGGGGUGCACUCACAGCUAAUAGGGGAGCACUCACAGCCCAUAGGGGUACACCCACAGCCCAUUGGGGUUCACUCACAGCCCAUAGGGGUGCACUCACAGCUCACUGGGGUACACCCACAGCUAAUAGGGGUGCACUCACAGCCCAUUGGGGUAUACUCACAGCCAAUAGGGGUACACCCACAGCCCAUUGGGGUCCACUCACAGCUAAUAGGGGAACACCCACAGCCCAUUGGGGUCCACCCACAGCCCAUAGGAGUGCACUCACAGCCCAUAGGGGUCCACCCACAGCCCAUAUGGGCACACGUCACCGCGGAGCAGAGCGUGGCUGUGCCACCCGUGGGACAAACAGAGCCACGUGAGGAGCAAAGGACAAUGAGGGCACAACCGCAGCCCUUCCUCCUCCUGGGGGGGUGGGGGUGCGGGGGGGGUGUGUGGGGGGGGGGGGGAGCCCCGAAGCCCCCCAUUUCGCCACUCUCCCCCUCUCGGUUUGCUUUGUGAGAGCCGAAGCAUCGCCGUCACACAUCGGUCCUUCC